AAGCAUGUCAGAAUUUACUUGCCAGAGAGAAGGAACAAACUCUAAGGAGAAAAAGUCAUAGUGUAUUUAACUACAGUAUAAGCAGGAAAAAAAAUAAUGAGGACUAACUUUACAUCUGGUCUCAAACUGUAAUGAGUUACUUCCAACUAUUGGAUUAGGAUAAAUAUAUCAACCACAUUUUAAGGUAAAAUCUGCUGUAUUGAAAGACUAAGGACUGAAACCCUGACUGCAUUGCUGGAAAGGAAGAGGAAAUAUCCUGGAUUUAGGAGAAGAGACAGAACCUGCUGUAACCUUACUAUGUUCCACAGGGGAAAGUAAGUCUGAAGCUGCCAGCUCUACUGCACGUAAGGACCUGUUCUCAAUCAAAUAUUGUUCCGUCUGCACUAUCAGACUUUCAAGAGAAGGAUCCAUACAGAAGAAACAACUUUUCCAAGUAUUUGGCCAUCUCCCAUGAUAUUUGAACUAUUAUUUUUCAAAAGAGAAAAAGCAACUUUGUCAGCAAUCCUAGUUUCCAGAGGUCACUGCCAGAUAAUUGCAAGUAAAAUACUCUCAAGUUGCCACCAAGUAUCCAUCACUAGACCGAUUUCUGAACUGUAAAUACAUCUAUCAAAGCCUGUCUGUUCAUCACCACUGGAACAAAGAAACUACUCCCAUCAGUUCUUGGUGCUCUAGACUACAGUUGUGACACAGAGUCUGAAGACAACAGUUUAUAUAGUGGGUUCUACAUCACUACAUCUACAACUAUAUCUACAGUGGGUGUAUAAGUCUCUUAAGAAUUCCAUGAAGGAAGGCACAGAAAAAGCAACUAGGUUUUAUCUCAAGAUUUUUGGCCAUUAAUGAAUAUUGGCGGGUUACCUACCAGACACAAAAGCACCGUUUGAUCCCAUCACAUACUUCAGCGGUUAAAGAAACAAAAAAAUGAAUUACUUUUUAGGUUUACUACCCUACAAAGUGCCUGUUUGGUUGAGACACAAACUGAAUCCUCAAGAUCUACUUUACAAAAUCUGAAACUUACUGUUCCACCAAACAUUCAUGUUUAAAGUAAUGAGCUUAAAGCAAAAGAAAAUGAAACAACAAACCCAGAAGCAACAAUAACAGAACCCCAACCCUUUUCAGUUGUCUCAUCAUUGUCCACUCUUGUAACAAAAGCCCCACCAGGCCUGGCCAUGGCUGUCAACUCCAGAACACUGUAACCAUGGUUGUUAACAUCACAAAUGUUGCUGAUGUCUUAUAAACUGUACUUUUACUACAAGUUCUCACCAAAAACAUAUUAUAUUCUCUUAAUUGCUCAGUAUUGGUUUCUAGAUCAUUCCUCUACCCUUUUUAUUCCCCUUGAUUAAGUUUAAAUAAAGCAUUG